UCUUGGAAGGCAAUGUGUAACCCUCGCCAGCCUCUACUGCUGAUUUCAAAACAACCCUGAGCUAACCUUCGUCACACUCUUUGCCCUCCUUCUUUUCUCCAACAUGUUGACACUGUUUCUGACAUCCUGUGAUGCAUGAGAUAAACCGCCGUGCUGUACAAUAUACUCUACGUCUCUCAUCUCACCAGCGAAAGUCUUUACAUGAAGUCAUGUGCAGCUGUCAGAGAACCAAAGCGAGCGUCUGCCUCAUGACAUCACCUUGACCUCAGAGAGCAGCCUGUCAACACGGCCCGUCCCACAGGAAGUGACCUCAUAGAGCACAGACCACCUCAGCUUUUCUGUUCAAGUCAUUAAAAGAGGAAAAUGCCAACACAUGCAAAACAAAACAAAAUUUUAUCAUGGACAUCCCAACCAAAGACCGGCUGGAAGGUUUGCAGGCGUUCAAAGAGAAACGUCCUCCUCGCUACAAGAGCGAGUAAGAGUGGCCUAAUCAACCCCAUUACAAGCAGCUGCUUCUGAAUCUCAUAAAGAAUGUUACAUACCUGAAAUUUUUGGAUCCCUGCCGGGGCCCUGGGGCCCGAUGAUGGUAAAACCCGUGGGGACUGGAGCUGGGAAUGUAUGAAAGAUGAAAGCUAUUCCUAUAAGUAUGUGGAUCAACUUCUUUUGGCAUGGUAUGUGAACUUUGUCCUUUAAGUUUGUGUUUAUUACAUAAUAUAAAGAGUCUUGGAUUGUUCGUUUUUAUCUGUUAAAAUAAUAUGUAAGGAAGUAGUGCACCCAACAUCUGCCUAGUUUUUGCUCUAAGUGGCAAAGAAAUUAAGAAAAAGUGUUGUAAUGUAUACUUGUAAUUUCUGCAAUAAAGCAUUAAAACAUU